UGGGGAAUAUUGGACAAUGGGCGCAAGCCUGAUCCAGCCAUGCCGCGUGAGUGAUGAAGGCCUUAGGGUUGUAAAGCUCUUUUAGUCGGAAAGAAAGAGUUGCAAUGAAUAAUUGUGAUUUAUGACGGUACCGACAGAAAAAGCACCGGCUAACUACGUGCCAGCAGCCGCGGUAAUACGUAGGGUGCGAGCGUUAAUCGGAAUUACUGGGCGUAAAGGGUGCGCAGGCGGUCUUGCAAGUCAGAUGUGAAAGCCCCGGGCUUAACCUGGGAAUUGCGUUUGAAACUACAAGACUAGAGUGCAGCAGAGGGGAGUGGAAUUCCAUGUGUAGCAGUGAAAUGCGUAGAGAUGUGGAAGAACACCGAUGGCGAAGGCAGCUCCCUGGGUUGACACUGACGCUCAUGCACGAAAGCGUGGGGAGCAAACA
rnacentral:rRNA from 1 species